AGUGAACGCUGGCGGUAGGCCUAACACAUGCAAGUCGAACGGCAGCACAGUAAGAGCUUGCUCUUACGGGUGGCGAGUGGCGGACGGGUGAGGAAUACAUCGGAAUCUACUUUUUCGUGGGGGAUAACGUAGGGAAACUUACGCUAAUACCGCAUACGACCUACGGGUGAAAGCAGGGGAUCUUCUGACCUUGCGCGAUUGAAUGAGCCGAUGUCGGAUUAGCUAGUUGGCGGGGUAAAGGCCCACCACGGCGACGAUCCGUAGCUGGUCUGAGAGGAUGAUCCGCCACACUGGAACUGAGACACGGUCCAGACUCCUACGGGAGGCAGCAGUGGGGAAUAUUGGACGAUGGGCGCAUGCCUGAUCCAGCCAUACCGCGUGGGUGAAGAAGGCCUUCGGGUUGUAAAGCCCUUUUGUUGGGAAAGAAAAGCAGCAGGUUAAUACCCCGCUGUUCUGACGGUACCCAAAGAAUAAGCACCGGCUAACUUCGUG
rnacentral:rRNA from 1 species